GGAUGUGAAGGCGAUCUGGCUGUGACGUCGGUUUUCCCCCCCAACCGGAUCACUGGGCUUGAUUGUGCUGAUCGGGCUAGGUAAGCAGGUGUCUGUCCCCUUCUUCCCUUACUGCUUCACGUUUGUCCCUCCCAGAGCUGCAAGAGGACAAAAAAACAGUAAAGUUACUUAACACUUCCUUCACCUCUCAUUGUUACCAUUCUGUUGUUACGGUUGUCAUCAUUGCUGUUGUUGUAAAGGUGAGAAUGUUAACGUUCUACCUCGAAGCCAUGUUCAAGUACAAAUACAGCAUCAUUAGCAACAGGCACCAUGUUGUACGUUAGACUGU
rnacentral:snRNA from 1 species